rnacentral:rRNA from 1 species
GAUGAACGCUGGCGGCGUGCCUAAUACAUGCAAGUCGAGCGAACGGACGAGAAGCUUGCUUCUCUGAUGUUAGCGGCGGACGGGUGAGUAACACGUGGAUAACCUACCUAUAAGACUGGGAUAACUUCGGGAAACCGGAGCUAAUACCGGAUAAUAUUUCGAACCGCAUGGUUCAAAAGUGAAAGACGGUCUUGCUGUCACUUAUAGAUGGAUCCGCGCUGCAUUAGCUAGUUGGUAAGGUAACGGCUUACCAAGGCAACGAUGCAUAGCCGACCUGAGAGGGUGAUCGGCCACACUGGAACUGAGACACGGUCCAGACUCCUACGGGAGGCAGCAGUAGGGAAUCUUCCGCAAAGGGCGAAAGCCUGACGGAGCAACGCCGCGUGAGUGAUGAAGGUCUUCGGAUCGUAAAACUCUGUUAUUAGGGAAGAACAUAUGUGUAAGUAACUGUGCACAUCUUGACGGUACCUAAUCAGAAAGCCACGGCUAACUACGUG